AUUGAGUAUGUGUACCUGCUGUAAAUAUGGACAAAAAAUGACAUGUGAACUUUAGGUGGGCUUGAUUAAGUCAUAGAUUGCCCAUAAAGGACUCACAUACAUUA